AGGUAUCAGACAAAUCUGGUACAAACAAACUUGAUAAACAAGGGGAGAGCAGGAAACAGCAUGGCUGAUUAUUCAAAGAUGUGGCAUGUAGAUGGAGGUUAGGGGAAAGUGGGACACCUGGUGGAGAGAUGGUGAACUAGAAGAGACUUUGGUAGGAGGGACUGUGACUCUAGUAGGAGAUUAAGGAGACGGACGGACAGUAAAGCCAAUUCCAUGUCAUUUAAAGCAACAAUAUAUAGCUUUUUCACCUUAAAAUGGCCAUUUUAAAGUUUAUUUACCAGUAUAAUCAUUUUAAACAGGGGAAUGACUUGUGUCCUAUAUACACUGAGCACUCUGGUCACAUGCUAUUUAGCUUUAACAGCAGGCCACAGUUCAGUUUAGUCAGAACUGGACAACAUUUCUUUAUUUAAAGAAGAGGAAAGAACCACACUGAAGGCUUUUAUUGGUAGAAUAAAAUUGUUUUUCUCCUGACUGAUCUCAGGAAGACUUUAAUUUACCAACUGGCUUCACUUUCAGUGAAUAAUCAUGUGCUGACAUGAUAAUGGCUGCCCGUUGACCUCUUAUGUAGUUAAUUUGCCUCCAGGGCUGCAAAUGCCUACUAAACAUCAUAUGUUUUGUUGCUCUGAUUGGCUGGUAGUGAUUGUGACAGAUGGAACAUUAAGGUUAUGUAAAGUUACGAAAACUCAGCAAAGAAGUCGGAAUGGGAUAAUAUGACAGUUUUUCAUGUUUCCAUGUAAUUUAGUUCCGUCUUGAUCGUGAACGAUGGCUGGUAGAAGAGGAUCGACUCGUCCACUGGUCCCCCGUGCGGCUGACACCAAAACCCCUCUGAACUACCAAUCCCCAUCUGCAGAGGUGGAGGCCUGGCUCAAUGCCAAGGGCUUCAGUCAGCAAUUGGAAAAUAGAACAGGAUUCCAUGGAUACGGCCAAAAUGUUCAGAGAGGAGAUUUUAAAUCAGCGUGCAAAUGGAAAAGCCUUCAGUGUGGUCAUGGAUCUUGGAGACAGUGCAGAGGAAAGGGACAGAGCUAUCUUUUCUUUAUACAAGGUGGUUCAUGUUGAAUGGGCCUCUCCUUUGACAUGAACACUGAAAGGUACAUUUCUUUUCUAUCUAACUAAUCAAACUUGCAGAGGAAUCUUGUAAGAUUAUAGGAAUGAAUUAUUUGUAGAAUUUAGCCCUUCAGCAAAUCAUAGAAACUCAGCUUUUAGAGUUUGGUGCGGUGUGUUUUGUUUGCAUAGGAGUUCCAGCUGCUGGUGAUGGUGUGGGUCACCAUUUCUUUGCAACAACCAUGUCCAAACUUCAGCAUGGGUUUGAUACCCAUUUCAUUUGUCCAGGAGGUGGUGCUCUGGGCACACAGUGACAAGAAGUCUUGUUCUGGCUAAGGGUCAAAGAGCCAGGAAGCUAUGAAAAGGUGAAUGUCCCUGCUCAGCCAAAUCCAAGUCUAUCUGCCAGGCAGCGGAGAGUAGGGACUUCUUUCUGCAGUUGGAUGAAGUGACGGGUUCCAUGAUGCUAAAAAAAAAUAAAAAUAAAAAAAAAUCACACACACUACUGGCAUCAGAUCCAAGGCAACCUACACCUGACCAGAGCCAACAUUUGUCACCUGGCUGUGUUGUCCCCUCUUGACCUUGUCAUCCUGCCAGUGCUGAAAGAACCAACAUGGGCUGAAAACACUGAUAUUCUGGAAACAUUUUGCAAAGAUUGUUUCCUACCAAAAAUCCCGUCAGAGUUGUAACAAAUUGAAGAUGCUAAAAGAUUUUCAGCUCUAUUUCAUUAUUGUUAUUAAUGAUGAAGCUUUGGCACUUUACACAACAUUUUUUCUACCAAUGUUUCAGGGUAUAA